GUUGGGAAUGAAGAUGAGCCCGGUCAACCGCGGUGGGAAGAGGAGGGAGAGCAGGGACUGAGUGAGCGAGUGGCAAGUGGCUUGGAGAGUCUCAGUGAGAGUACUAAAUUGGGGACUACCAUUCCCAAACUACAACAUGCCCCUGAUGGUACUCGAUUUUGUAGAUUCCAGUAACAGAGUAGUAGCCUGUCUCUCGUCCUCUUCCAGCGUAGCAUUAUAAAAAACCUGCAACUGAAGAAAUUAAUGCAUGAACUUAGUUCACGUCACUUCACUUGCAGCAAGCAACUGAGUGCCUGGCAGAUGCUUUAGAAAGAAGUGCACAGAAAAGAAGGAGACAACAGACACUAAAGAGA